AUUGAACGCUGGCGGCAGGCCUAACACAUGCAAGUCGAGCGGCAGCGACUUAACUGAACCUUCGGGGAACGUUAAGGGCGGCGAGCGGCGGACGGGUGAGUAAUGCCUGGGAAUAUGCCCUGAUGUGGGGGAUAACUAUUGGAAACGAUAGCUAAUACCGCAUAAUCUCUUCGGAGCAAAGAGGGGGACCUUCGGGCCUCUCGCGUCAGGAUUAGCCCAGGUGGGAUUAGCUUGUUGGUGAGGUAAUGGCUCACCAAGGCAACGAUCCCUAGCUGGUCUGAGAGGAUGAUCAGCCACACUGGAACUGAGACACGGUCCAGACUCCUACGGGAGGCAGCAGUGGGGAAUAUUGCACAAUGGGGGAAACCCUGAUGCAGCCAUGCCGCGUGUGUGAAGAAGGCCUUCGGGUUGUAAAGCACUUUCAGUAGGGAGGAAGGUAGUGUAGUUAACACCUGCAUUAUUUGACGUUACCUACAGAAGAAGCACCGGCUAACUCCGUGCCUGCAGCCGCGGUAAUACGGAGGGUGCGAGCGUUAAUCGGAAUUACUGGGCGUAAAGCGCAUGCAGGCGGCCUGUUAAGUCAGAUGUGAAAGCCCGGGGCUUAACCUCGGAAUUGCAUUUGAAACUGGCAGGCUAGAGUCUUGUAGAGGGGGGUAGAAUUUCAGGUGUAGCGGUGAAAUGCGUAGAGAUCUGAAGGAAUACCAGUGGCGAAGGCGGCCCCCUGGACAAAGACUGACGCUCAGAUGCGAAAGCGUGGGGAGCAAACAGG
rnacentral:rRNA from 1 species